rnacentral:rRNA from 1 species
GACGAACGCUGGCGGCGUGCUUAACACAUGCAAGUCGAGCGGAAAGGCCACUUCGGUGGUACUCGAGCGGCGAACGGGUGAGUAACACGUGAGUAAUCUGCCCCUCACUUUGGGAUAGCCACCGGAAACGGUGAUUAAUACCGGAUAUGACCAUAUGUCGCAUGGCGUGUGGUGGAAAGUUUUUCGGUGAGGGAUGUGCUCGCGGCCUAUCAGCUUGAUGGUGGGGUAAUGGCUCACCAUGGCUUCGACGGGUAGCCGGCCUGAGAGGGGGACCGGUCAAACUGGGACUAGGACACGCCCCAGACUCCUACGGGGGGCAGCAGUGGGGAAUAUGGGACAAUGGGCGGAGGCCUGAGCCAGCAACGCCGCGUGGGGGAUGACGGCCUUCGGGUGGUAAACCUCUUUCAGUACCAACGAAGCGCAAGUGACGGUAGGUACAGAAGAAGCACCGGCCAACUACGUG